GACGAACGCUGGCGGCGUGCUUAACACAUGCAAGUCGAACGGAAAGGCCCUGCUUGCAGGGUACUCGCGUGGCGAACGGGCGAGUAACACGCGGGUGAUCUGCCCUGCACUUCGGGAUAAGUCUGGGAAACUGGGUCUAAUACCGGACAGGAGCCAUUUUUAGCGUGAUGGUUGGAAAGUUUGUUCGGUGUAGGAUGAGCUCGCGGCCUAUCAGCUUGUUGGUGGGGUAAUGGCCUACCAAGGCGGCGACGGGUAGCCGGCCUGAGAGGGUGGACGGCCACAUUGGGACUGAGAUGCGGCCCAGGCUCCUACGGGAGGGAGCAGUGGGGAAUAUUGCACAAUGGGCGCAAGCCUGAUGCAGCGAGGCCGCGGAGGGGAUGACUGCCUUCGGGGUGUAAACUCCUUUCGCAAGGGACGAAGCUUUUUGUGACGGUACCUAGAUAAGAAGCACCGGCUAACUACGUG
rnacentral:rRNA from 1 species